rnacentral:rRNA from 1 species
UACGUAGGUGGCGAGCGUUGUCCGGAUUUACUGGGCGUAAAGCGCGCGCAGGUGGCGCGUCAAGUCUGGUGUGAAAGCCCUCGGCUCAACCGGGGGAGGCCACUGGAGACUGGCGUGCUUGAGGUGGGUAGGGGCCGGUGGAAUUCCCGGUGUAGUGGUGAAAUGCGUAGAUAUCGGGAGGAACACCAGUGGCGAAAGCGGCCGGCUAGGCCCAACCUGACGCUGAGGCGCGAAAGCGUGGGGAGCGAACCGG